rnacentral:tRNA from 1 species
GCCGGGGUAGUGUAAUCGGUAAGCAUGAGAGGUUGUGGCCCUCUCGGUUCGGGUUCGAGUCCCGACCCCGGCC